rnacentral:tRNA from 1 species
GCCUGGCGGGCUCAGCCAGUGGAGCGUGUGAUUUUUGAUCUCCAGGUUGUGGGUUCAAGCCCCACGUUGGGUG